rnacentral:rRNA from 1 species
AGUCGACGGUGAAGAGGAGCUUGCUCCUUGGAUCAGUGGCGAACGGGUGAGUAACACGUGAGCAAUCUGCCCUUGACUCUGGGAUAACUGCGGGAAACUGUAGCUAAUACCGGAUAUUACCUUGGAAGGCAUCUUCUGGGGUGGAAAGAAUUUUGGUCAAGGAUGAGCUCGCGGCCUAUCAGCUAGUUGGUGAGGUAAUGGCUCACCAAGGCGACGACGGGUAGCCGGCCUGAGAGGGUGACCGGCCACACUGGGACUGAGACACGGCCCAGACUCCUACGGGAGGCAGCAGUGGGGAAUAUUGCACAAUGGGCGAAAGCCUGAUGCAGCAACGCCGCGUGAGGGACGACGGCCUUCGGGUUGUAAACCUCUUUUAGUAGGGAAGAAGCGAAAGUGACGGUACCUGCAGAAAAAGCACCGGCUAACUACGUGCCAGCAGCCGCGGUAAUACGUAGGGUGCAAGCGUUGUCCGGAAUUAUUGGGCGUAAAGAGCUCGUAGGCGGUUUGUCGCGUCUGCUGUGAAAUCCGGAGGCUCAACCUCCGGCCUGCAGUGGGUACGGGCAGACUAGAGUGCGGUAGGGGAGAUUGGAAUUCCUGGUGUAGCGGUGGAAUGCGCAGAUAUCAGGAGGAACACCAAUGGCGAAGGCAGAUCUCUGGGCCGUAACUGACGCUGAGGAGCGAAAGCAUGGGGAGCGAACAGGAUUAGAUA